GCCCAUUAUAAUUCCUACCCAUUACCCGUUCCACUGGCCCAAAUACCCAAAGUCCAAACUCGUUUAUGACUUGGGCCUUAGGGGUAGAGAAUAGGAUUCAAAUAGCACUUGUCUCUCUCUCAUUAUUCACAAUAUUUUUGCUGAAAUCUCAGUAGUGACACUCAAUUUUUGGUGAUAUUCUGUAGAGAGCAAAGACGAUUUUUGCUUUUGCUCGCAACAGAGUGGCAAAAACAGAAAGCCCUGGGGUAGCAUCAAUUAUCACCUGCAAAGGCUUAACAGGGGAAGGAAGUGAGUGACUUGGAUCGAGUUAGUUGCAUCUGCAUUACUUGCACCGUUAAUAAGAGUGGUGGCAGUGAGAUGGUUUCUCCAAUUUCUCAAUGAACGGCAUCUUUCCGAGAUAGUCUGUAAUCUUUGAUUAAUAUAUCAUGAAUGCAGACUCAAGAAGCAAAUUCCAUAUUCCGGAUGUGAACCUGACUAACUGUUCAGGAGAAUUAUCAUUAACCUUUUGCUUCAAGAUACCUCAUACGUUCUGGCAGCCGCUUCAGCUUCUUGCAAUACAAAAUAUUCAAUGACGUCAUCUGGGUCCCACAUGCCACCGAAAGUAUUUCAAGAUUCUCACAAAACCCAAUAUUGAGUGUUUCAGUCCCACUAGGAAUCAAAAACCUAGUAAGGUUUUGGAAAUCCUCUAUCAACAAUUUGCGUGCUCUUGGGACCAACUCAGGUGAUGAUAUAGAAUCACAUUCAAUCAAACUCAAUUCCUCCAGAAACAUGUUAGAAAUCAUCGUACUACUAUCAGGUGCCUCCAAUUUCAAUUUCCAGCAAUGCCACAUCCUUAAUGUCUUCAACGUAUUCGGAAGAGUGCUAAUAGGCAAGGAGGUAAGAGAGUUGCAAUCACUAAUAUCUAAUUUCACAAUCUGCUUCAUUCCCUCAAGUUGGGAUGUAAACAGUUCAGCUUCAUCAAAGACAACUCCAGCCUUAGGAGAACCAUCAACUUCAAACCUUUUUACACUUGAAAGUUGGAUGGGCAUCUCCACAUUGAGUUCAGGACAUCUUGAGAUUCUCAGUUCUAUCAGAGAACAAAGAUUUUCAGGCAACUUUCCCAUCAACAUAGGGCAAUCAUCAAUGGAAAGCUUCUGAAGUGCAGGACACUCUCCCUUCCCUAAUACGUGCCACUGCUUCCACUCAGGCAUCUUUGCAAAUUCAAGCUUCUCAAGAGAGUUAAAAGGCUUUUCGGAGGACGGACUACCAUAGAAUUCCUGAGUCACCUCUGUUAUUCGAUGCAUCUCUCUAAUGGAAAGGAAUUUCAAACAAGGAAGUUGUCCUAGUGCUGGCAAGGAAAAACAGUCCUUGCAGUUGCUAAGAGACAAUUUCACUAGCUUAAGAAACGAACAAUCAGCUAGCCAAUUUGGAAAUUGUGUCCCUCUAUAUCUGUAGAUUUGGAGUUCUUUUAUGUUUGUGUGUGGGCGUAGCUCAUCAAGUAUGUCUCUUUCGGUUUGUGAAUUGUCAGCAUCACUUUCACUCCAAUCCAAUGAUAACUUUUCAACAUGAUUCUUCUCUCU